UACGUAGGGUGCAAGCGUUAAUCGGAAUUACUGGGCGUAAAGCGUGCGCAGGCGGUUUUGUAAGUUUGUCGUGAAAUCCCCGGGCUCAACCUGGGAAUGGCGAUGAAGACUGCAAGGCUAGAAUCUGGCAGAGGGGGGGGUAGAAUUCCACGUGUAGCAGUGAAAUGCGUAGAGAUGUGGAGGAACACCGAUGGCGAAGGCAGCCCCCUGGGUC
rnacentral:rRNA from 1 species